rnacentral:lncRNA from 1 species
AGCAUAGGAGUUUUUAGGGCAUGGAGAGGCACAAACAUCCAGACAAGCAUUUACCUUCUGCUGAAAUUGUCUCAGUGUUUGCCUCUCCUAAUGGAAUAUGGGCCACAUGUACAGCAAGGGCUCAGCAAAUGCUUGCUGAACAAACAAGUUUGAGGCAGGUUUCUAACUCAGGUAGAUCGUUUCAUCCUCUUCAUCUCCCAGCAACCAAGAAAACCAGCCUAUUGCCAUGGGGGGGUCCUCCAACCCUGGCUAUUCUCCAAUGCUAAAGACUGACAGAUAAUCUCAAUUAGCAAAUUGACCCUUGUGGAUUUUCUGCACUCAUAGCAAAUGUCUUCAGGAAAACUGAAUUUCUCUCCAUACCUGGAUUAAUUUUCAGUAAUGGAAUGACUGGGUCAAAGGAGAUCAACAUUGCUGUGGCUCUUUCAGGUUCUCUUAAAUUCCAUGGAUUUUAACUUUGGCCCAUGACCUCCUUGACCUCUGGAAAUGUGACAUCCUGCACCUGCUGCAUCAGGGCUCUUCCCUGGUCUUGCCUACACUUGUGUCUACACAGGAUUGAAGAUCAAAGUUUGAAGUUGACUUCUAGGCCCCAUCCUGGUACAUUCUGGAUGAAUUUUGGGGUUGGAAGAUGGAGGACCUAUACAUUUUGAGGGAAAUAAGAAGGAUAAUAGGAGUCAGUGAAGAAGUGGUCAGCACCAAAGGAGGAGAGCGUUUAAAGGAAAAGAGCUUGAUAAACCAGAGGGAUAGUCUGAGAGAGAAACUGAAGGUCAAAAUCAACGCAGUGGUGCCGAACAGAAGGGCCCGAGGUGCGAUGAGUAUAAUAUGAACACGAAGGAAAACAGCGAGUUCAGAAGCCUGGAGAAUCAGAAGCAGGUCAAGCGCUGGGGUUCAGGGCAAAGACCCUGAACACUGUGAAGGUGUUGGAGACCUGUUUUGAGGUGGCACUGCGGCUCAAUGUGAGUGCAGACCUGAGAGAUUAAAGUGCCUACGAAGGGCCAAAUACCUGUCCCUUCAUGACA